CUAUAUAAAUAGAUCAGUUCCUUGCUGAGGGGCCAGGCAGCAACAUUGCUUGGCUGCAAGGCUGCUGGUAUCAUCCUGGAGAGUGGACAGUGAAAUUAAAAGGAAUAAGGCAUAAAAGGAAAUCUCUUCUACUUCCAUUCAAAAAUCUCUGACCUGUGGAACUCUGCUGCAGGAUUUUAUUGUACAAGACCUUCAACAGAUGCACAGACUCAAACCUUGGAAAACAUACAAAGCCUGCAGUACUGCUUAAAUUAGAUACAAAGUGCUAUGCUACUGCAAUGUUAUGGUCGAGACUUCUGCACAAACAGACAAGUGAAUAAAUUUAAGGUAUGGGUCCCACUGUGACAGGAAUUUGGUCAUUUUGUAGGCAUUUGUUGCUUAGUUUUCUGCUUGAAUAUAUAUAAUACAGUUGCUAUGUUAUGCUUUGAAUUCACUGUAGGUAAAUAUCAAUCAUGAUGCUGCAUUAAUGUCAUUUCUUAUUUUUAUGCUCAUUUUUUAAAUAAAUAUAAUUAUUGAGAUAUAGCAUGCUGCACAAAAUUCUGUCGCAUAUAAGUUCUUCUAUGUCAGGGGUG